UACAGAGGGUGCAAGCGUUGUUCGGAAUUAUUGGGCGUAAAGCGCGUGUAGGCGGCUUAGCAAGUCGGGCGUGAAAGCCCUCGGCUCAACCGAGGAACUGCGCUCGAUACUGCAUGGCUUGAGGUCCGGAGGGGAGAGUGGAAUUCCCGGUGGAGCGGUGAAAUGCGUAGAGAUCGGGAAGAACGCCGGCGGCGAAAGUGACUCUCUGGUCGGACCUUGACGCUGAGGCGCGAAAGCUAGGGGAGCAAACGGG
rnacentral:rRNA from 1 species